CCUUGUUCAGGACCACCGAGGAUUCUCUCAGACUCUCAGGGAAUAAAGUCUUUCACUGCUUAGGGUCGAGAAGACAAAGAACCAGGCUUGGAACGCCAGCGCCCCUGAUGCUCUACGGCAGCUGAAUGAAACAAAAAAAUUACAUCCAACUCUCGUGGGAUUCACGUUCUUACCGAGGAGCUACACGGCGCCGUUACUCAGGGCUGAGGAAUCAAGUUCCGGCUGGAGCCAAAGUACACCUGAGACUCAACCCUUACGACGGAUGAUAAGAAACUAAGAGACUCUUGAAAGACUUCAUGAAAAUCCAUGGCGAAUCUAAUUAGUUGUUAAGACGACGUAAUCGACUCUACGUCUUAAGACGUAGGAAUGGUAAUUACGUGGUCCUUGGUCCACGUAUUUAAUUUCUGUAAUUUAUUCGAGGCGAUGACCUCACUGGAUAUACCCAGGAUAUCUAUUGAAGAUGCUGUAUAAGCGUAAGAUACUUUUUUUAAAUCAUGUUCUUUUUCUUGUCACUUCAGUUCGUUUUAUUAAUUCAGCAUUUCACUCGGAUUUCCCUGCCCGUUAACAUGCUAAACCAAUCCUCUGUCUCUGCUGGGUAGGAAUCAAUCUCCAAUCGUGGAAUCGGAAGUUUCGCCAAGCCAGGAGCUUCCGGCAUUGAAUUUAUUGUUAUGCAUUUAUGCAGAUUGAAAUUAAUAUUAGGAAUCCCAGUAGCGAGGAGGUCCUAGGCGGGAGAUUGAUUGAAUCUCAUGAGGUGAUUGGAUUUUACAUAGACCUGGUCUACCACUUGACUAGCAAAGGUGAGACUGUUGUUCAGAAUUUAAAUAAUUCAUUUUAAUUAUACAUUUUUCAGAUUUAUCGUAAUCAUGGAACAACCUUUUUUAACAUCUUUCCCACGAAUUUUUCAACUCGCACAAGGAUGCCAAUAAUCUAUUUGCAAGUUUCAUUACAGAACGUUCCUCGUUCUUGUUUCUGCCAGCAAUUCGGAUUUUACCCUCGGCCAGUUAUAGAAUAAACGCCGCGAAAUUCUGACGGAAUCAAUUUAAUCACGACAAAUUAGCACGCUUUGAGGGUGACUCGUAGAUAACCCUACGCUUUAGUCAAGCAGCAACCAAAAGGGAAAGUGAUAAAGCCCCGUCCGUAACGAGGAGAUUUGCUUCGCGAGGGCUGCUGUUGCUGAUGAUGGUAGAUUGGUGGGUAGGCGAAAGGAGGGUUGCUCAGAGGUAGAAGGAGUAAUAGCAACGCCAUGGAGGCAGAAGUUUUAAUUGAGACGAAACGCCAUUGGUUGAGGUCGGCUGUCUGCUCAAAAAUAAAACCGUCGCCAUCGUUGUGAAUCGUGCGGCCCUGAAAGUUGUUCUGCCCAGUGUCUGUGCAUAUAUAUAUACACCGCAGCAAACUGAUCCGAUACCUACAGCAGGAAAUGGGACGAAGAAGUAGAGAAUCCUCGAAAAGUCAGUCUCCCGGAAGAAUGGUGCAG